GCUGGCUGCGUGACGUGACUACUACAUGCUCUUGGUGACGGUGAAGCCCCCGUCGACGAAGAGGUUGUGGCCGCUCACGUACCUCGACUCGUCGCUGGCCAAGUAAAGCACCGCCUCCGCUAUGUCUUCUGGCUUGGCCGUCACCCCCUUGAGAUUGGCGCCCGCAUCCAACAGCCUCUCCACCUCCUCGUCGGUCAUGCCCAACGCAGCACUUGUCAUCGGCGUCGCCAGCAGAUGCGGCGACACGCAGUUCGCCCGCACCCCGAACUUCCCCAGCUCCGCCGCGGCGCUCCGCAUCAACCCCACCACCGCGUACUUCGAGCAGGUGUAGAACGCCGGCGCCAUCCCCCCCAACGCCGACACCGAGCUCGCGGUCGUCACGAUGCACCCGCUGCGGGCCGGCGCCAUGACGCGCGCCGCGUGCUUCGUCCCCAGGUAGACUCCCAGCACGUUGACGGCCAUCAUCCGCUCGAAGAGGGAGGCGGAGUGCUCGCCGUUGAGGAACCCGUGAUCGCGUCCCAGGGCGACGCCUGCGUUGUUAAACAUGAUGUCGAGCUUACCGUGGAGGGAGACGGCGGUGUCGACAGCAUUCUUGACGUCGGCCUCACUGGUGACGUCGCAGUGGACGUAGGAG
rnacentral:lncRNA from 1 species